rnacentral:rRNA from 1 species
GAUGUGUAGGAUAGGUGGGAGGCUUUGAAGUGUGGACGCCAGUCUGCAUGGAGCCGACCUUGAAAUACCACCCUUUAAUGUUUGAUGUUCUAACGUUGACCCGUAAUCCGGGUUGCGGACAGUGUCUGGUGGGUAGUUUGACUGGGGCGGUCUCCUCCUAAAGAGUAACGGAGGAGCACGAAGGUUGGCUAAUCCUGGUCGGACAUCAGGAGGUUAGUGCAAUGGCAUAAGCCAGCUUGACUGCGAGCGUGACGGCGCGAGCAGGUGCGAAAGCAGGUCAUAGUGAUCCGGUGGUUCUGAAUGGAAGGGCCAUCGCUCAACGGAUAAAAGGUACUCCGGGGAUAACAGGCUGAUACCGCCCAAGAGUUCAUAUCGACGGCGGUGUUUGGCACCUCGAUGUCGGCUCAUCACAUCCUGGGGCUGAAGUAGGUCCCAAGGGUAUGGCUGUUCGCCAUUUAAAGUGGUACGCGAGCUGGGUUUAGAACGUCGUGAGACAGUUCGGUCCCUAUCUGCCGUGGGCGCUGGAGAACUGAGGGGGGCUGCUCCUAGUACGAGAGGACCGGAGUGGACGCAUCACUGGUGUUCGGGUUGUCAUGCCAAUGGCACUGCCCGGUAGCUAAAUGCGGAAGAGAUAAGUGCUGAAAGCAUCUAAGCACGAAACUUGCCCCGAGAUGAGUUCUCCCUGACUCCUUGAGAGUCCUGAAGGAACGUUGAAGACGACGACGUUGAUAGGCCGGGUGUGUAAGCGCAGCGAUGCGUUGAGCUAACCGGUACUAAUGAACCGUGAGG